ACUGCUGAGAGGUAUAGCUCAGUUGGUAGAGCAUGAGACUCUUAAUCUCAGGGUCUUAGGCUUGGGCGAAAAAUCCCUGCAUUGCAGGG